rnacentral:rRNA from 1 species
GAUGAACGCUGGCGGCGUGCCUAAUACAUGCAAGUAGAACGCUGAAGGAAGGAGCUUGCUCUUUCCGGAUGAGUUGCGAACGGGUGAGUAACGCGUAGGUAACCUGCCUGGUAGCGGGGGAUAACUAUUGGAAACGAUAGCUAAUACCGCAUAACAGUAGAUGUUGCAUGAUAUCUACUUAAAAGGUGCAAUUGCACCACUACCAGAUGGACCUGCGUUGUAUUAGCUAGUUGGUGAGGUAACGGCUCACCAAGGCGACGGUACAUAGCCGACCUGAGAGGGUGGUCGGCCACACUGGGAAUGGGACACGGCUCAGGCUCCUUAGGGAAGGAGCCAGAGGGAAACGUCGGCCAUGGGCGGAAAUCUGAACGAGCAACGCCGCGUGAGGGGAGAAGGGUUUCGGGUCGUAAAGGUCUGUUGUAAGGGAAGAACGAGUGUGAGAGUGGAAAGUUCACGCUGUGACGGUAUCUUACCAGAAAGGAACGGCUAACUACGUG